CCCUCCACCACAUGAGUCUUACCAUGGAUGUUGAAAUGAUAAAUGCUGAGUGAGGAGAGAUAAAGGAGGGGACCCAAGGACAGAGCCGCUGUCCACACAGAUAUUUCAGCUCCUGGUAACCUGCUUGGCCUGACAUCACAUGUUGACUCCUCUCCAAGGUCCAAGCUCCUGGCUUCCUGUGAGGCUAUGAAGGCGAAUGUUCCCUCUGCACAGUGAUCAUCACUUUCAGCCACGACACUCCCCCCAGCUGCGGCCAUGCAAGGAUGCGCCCAAUGACAGCCUCUCUAUCUGGCACAAAUGCACCCUAGGGGCGGGAGCAGACUGUUUUUAUGAGAACUAAACAAUACUGAACUUCUUUCACAUAUCAGAAAGGGGCAAAGCCUAGAGAGUCCAAGUUUUUGAGAGAGAUGAGGAAAGCCCAU